AAUCAACGCUGGCGGCGUGCCUAACACAUGCAAGUCGAGCGAGAAAAGGGGAGCAAUCCUCUGAGUAAAGCGGCGCACGGGUGAGUAACACGUGGGUAAUCUGCCCUGGAGUGGGGAAUAACACCGGGAAACCGGUGCUAAUACCGCAUACGAUCACGAUGUCUGCGGAUGACGUGAUGAAAGGAGCAAUUCGCUCCAGGAGGAGCCCGCGGCUGAUUAGCUAGUUGGUGAGGUAAUGGCUCACCAAGGCUACGAUCAGUAUCCGGUCUGAGAGGACGGUCGGACACACUGGAACUGAGACACGGUCCAGACUCCUACGGGAGGCAGCAGUGGGAAUUUUUCGCAAUGGGGCAACCCUGACGAAGCAACGCCGCGUGGAUGAUGAAGUAUCUCGGU
rnacentral:rRNA from 1 species